rnacentral:rRNA from 1 species
UACGUAGGGGGCAAGCGUUGUCCGGAAUUAUUGGGCGUAAAGAGCGCGUAGGCGGUCCGAUAAGUCGGCUGUGAAAGUCAGGGGCUCAACCCUUGAAAGGCCGGCCGAUACUGUCGGACUAGAGUCCGGAAGAGGCGAGUGGAAUUCCCGGUGUAGCGGUGAAAUGCGCAGAGUAUCGGGAAGAACACCCGUGGCGAAGGCGGCUGCUCUCGGGACGGUAACUGACGCGUGAGACGCGGAAAGCGUGG